CCUACGGGUGGCUGCAGUGAGGAAUAUUGGUCAAUGGGCGGGAGCCUGAACCAGCCAAGUCGCGUGAGGGAAGACGGUCCUACGGAUUGUAAACCUCUUUUGCCGGGGAGCAACGGGGUCCUUGCGAGGGCCCGAUGAUAGUACCCGGAGAAAAAGCAUCGGCUAACUCCGUGCCAGCAGCCGCGGUAAUACGGAGGAUGCGAGCGUUAUCCGGAUUUAUUGGGUUUAAAGGGUGCGUAGGCGGAAUAUCAAGUCAGCGGUAAAAAUUCGGGGCUCAACCCCGUCGUGCCGUUGAAACUGAUGUUCUUGAGUGGGCGAGAAGUAUGCGGAAUGCGUGGUGUAGCGGUGAAAUGCAUAGAUAUCACGCAGAACUCCGAUUGCGAAGGCAGCAUACCGGCGCCCAACUGACGCUGAAGCACGAAAGCGUGGGUAUCGAACAGGAUUAGAUACCCGAGUAGUC
rnacentral:rRNA from 1 species